rnacentral:rRNA from 1 species
UACGGGGGGGGCAAGCGUUGUUCGGAAUUACUGGGCGUAAAGGGCGCGUAGGCGGUCCGAUAAGUCCCGUGUGAAAGCCCCCGGCUCAACUGGGGAACUGCACGGGAAACUGACGGACUUGAGUUCGGGAGAGGGAAGCGGAAUUCCGGGUGUAGCGGUGAAAUGCGUUGAUAUCAUCAGGAACACCGGAGGCGAAGGCGGCUCACUGGGGAUUUUCUGACGCUGAGGAACGAAAGCCAGGGGAGCGAACGGG